rnacentral:rRNA from 1 species
GAUCCUGGCUCAGAUUGAACGCUGGCGGCAUGCCUUACACAUGCAAGUCGAACGGCAUCGCGGGAAAGCUUGCUUUCCUGGCGGCGAGUGGCGAACGGGUGAGUAACACAUCGGAACGUACCGGCUAGUGGGGGAUAACCCGUCGAAAGACGGGCUAAUACCGCAUACGCUCUUCGGAGGAAAGCAGGGGACCUUUGGGCCUUGCGCUAGCCGAGCGGCCGAUGUCCGAUUAGCUAGUUGGUGGGGUAAAGG